rnacentral:rRNA from 1 species
UACAGAGGUCUCAACCGUUGUUCGGAUUCAUUGGGCGUAAAGGGUGCGUAGGCGGUCGCGCAAGUCGGAUGUGAAAUCUCAGGGCUCAACCCUGAAACUGCAUUCGAUACUGCGUGGCUAGAGUGCUGGAGAGGAGACUGGAAUUUACGGUGUAGCAGUGAAAUGCGUAGAUAUCGUAAGGAAGACCAGUGGCGAAGGCGAGUCUCUGGACAGCAACUGACGCUGAGGCACGAAAGGCCAGGGGAGCGAACGGGG